rnacentral:rRNA from 1 species
CUGGCGGCGUGCUUAACACAUGCAAGUGAACGGACGGAGUAUUGAAGCGACUUUCGGUAGUGGUGGAGUAUAUUGUUUAGUAGCGGACGGGUGAGUAAUGCAUGAGAACCUGCCUUCAGAGGGGACGAACAAGUUGGAAACGGCUGCUAAUACCCCAUAUGCCGAGAGGUGAAAGGAGCGAUCCGCUGAAGGAGUGGCUCAUGUCCUAUCAGCUAGUUGGUGAGGUAAGUGCUCACCAAGGCGAUGACGGGUAGCCGGCCUGAGAGGGCGACCGGCCACACUGGAACUGAGAUACGGUCCAGACUCCUACGGGAGGCAGCAGUGGGGAAUAUUGGGCAAUGGGCGGAAGCCUGACCCAGCGACGCCGCGUGAGGGAAGAAGGCCUUUGGGUCGUAAACCUCUGUUGUAUGGGAAGAAGGAAGUGACGGUACCAUACGAGGAAGUCCCGGCUAACUACGUGCCAGCCGCCGC